UACGAAGGGGGCUAGCGUUGCUCGGAAUCACUGGGCGUAAAGGGUGCGUAGGCGGGUCUUUAAGUCAGGGGUGAAAUCCUGGAGCUCAACUCCAGAACUGCCUUUGAUACUGAGGAUCUUGAGUAUGGGAGAGGUGAGUGGAACUGCGAGUGUAGAGGUGAAAUUCGUAGAUAUUCGCAAGAACACCAGUGGCGAAGGCGGCUCACUGGCCCGUAACUGACGCUGAGGCACGAAAGCGUGGGGAGCAAACAGG
rnacentral:rRNA from 1 species